GUGAAUGCGUUGGUGUUGUUUUAGGCUCGAUAAAUGGCUGAUAGAUUUCCCACACUGAUCACAGGUGUACGGUUUCUCUCCACUAUGGAUGUGUUGGUGUUGUUGUUGGCUCGAUAACUGGCUGAAAGAUUUCCCACACUGGUCACAGGUGUACAGUUUC